CAGUGAACUCCAGCUUCAGAUACACUGAUGUAGAUCCAACAUAUACAACACCAAAUAUCAAACUCAAGUUAUGCUUUUAGAUGAGCGAGAGAGAAGGAGAAUCCAAUGAAAGAAGUUGAAUUCAUAUGGCAAUACACUUAUCACUGACUCAAGAACAUCAAUCUGCUGCAAUAACAUAAUCUCAAACAUCGGCCACAAGGCUGAUAUAGUUGAAUGAUUUUUACAUAAAAUUUAGUCAAGG